ACUGGCGCAGCCACACACAGUUCAUGGACCAUGGCGGUGGCAACGCCAGCACAAAGGCUUGGUGGGCGGAAAAGACGUGAUGAUUUAUGGACAUACUUUACACAUAAUACAGCAGAAAAUAAAACGGAAUGCCUUGUAGUGGGAGACAGAGGUACACGCUGUGGCUAUAAACUACAUGGCAAGAAUACGACCAACCUCAAGAGGCAUCUAAAGGCUCACCAUGCUGCUAUUUCUGCGACGAUGUCGAUCCUGAGACCGAGAUGCUGACCCCUUCUGCUCCUCGGACCUGCCUGAUCCAUCCUGAUGCCCUACAUCUGACUGGAGUCUCAUCACAUCGCUCCUGUAGAGGACGGCCCCAUAUGGACAGUUGAAAGUCGCACUUGGAAGACACUCUGGACACUUACAGUAAUGCUUUUAUGGCUGAGGAUGACAGUUAACUUGCUAACUUCAGGACUGCAGUUGUCAUGAACAGUCUUGCACUCAAGUUUCCAUCAAUGAACAGUUUAUAACUUCAACAAAACAGACUUCAUGUUAAAACUAUAAUGAAUUUCCUGGACACUGUUAUAGAAGUGAAUUCUUUAUAAUUAUGCUGUCUGUUAUCACCCAAAUGAGGAUGGGUUCCGUUUUGAGUCUCGAGGUUUCUUCCUCAUGUUGUCUGAGGGAGUUUUUCUUUGCCACCGUCACCACAGGCUUGCUCGUUGAGGACAGAUUAGGGAUAAAAUUAGCUCAUGUUUAAAGUCUUUAAUUUUCUAUAAAGCUGCUUUGCGAUAAUGUGUAUUGUUAAAAGCGCUAUUAAAAUAAACUUGACUUGA